AAAAAAAUCAUGUCUUUUUCAGGACUUCUGAAUCCAACCAUGUAGUAUGGAAUGUUCUUGAGAUAUGGUUUUGGUCGAUGGAUGUUCAUGAAGGACCUGAAGGACAAAGUAUAUCACUGGAUUUAGCUCUUUGUCUAAGUGUAUUAUUAAAGUACUUUGCUUUGAGCUCAGUUCAUUGUUAUGCAAUUCAUUCUUUGUGAAAUAAAGAUUUGACCGACA
rnacentral:lncRNA from 1 species